rnacentral:rRNA from 1 species
GCCAUGCCGCGUGUGUGAAGAAGGCCCUCGGGUUGUAAAGCACUUUCAGUGAGGAAGAACGCCUGGUGGUUAAUACCCAUCAGGAAAGACAUCACUCACAGAAGAAGCACCGGCUAACUCCGUGCCAGCAGCCGCGGUAAUACGGAGGGUGCGAGCGUUAAUCGGAAUUACUGGGCGUAAAGCGCGCGUAGGUGGCUUGAUAAGCCGGUUGUGAAAGCCCCGGGCUCAACCUGGGAACGGCAUCCGGAACUGUCAAGCUAGAGUGCAGGAGAGGAAGGUAGAAUUCCCGGUGUAGCGGUGAAAUGCGUAGAGAUCGGGAGGAAUACCAGUGGCGAAGGCGGCCUUCUGGACUGACACUGACACUGAGGUGCGAAAGCGUGGGUAGCAAACAGGAUUAGAUACCCUGGUAGUCCACGCCGUAAACGAUGUCGACCAGCCGUUGGGUGCCUAGCGCACUUUGUGGCGAAGUUAACGCGAUAAGUCGACCGCCUGGGGAGUACGGCCGCAAGGUUAAAACUCAAAUGAAUUGACGGGGGCCCGCACAAGCGGUGGAGCAUGUGGUUUAAUUCGAUGCAACGCGAAGAACCUUACCUACUCUUGACAUCCUGCGAACUUGUGAGAGAUCACUUGGUGCCUUCGGGAACGCAGAGACAGGUGCUGCAUGGCUGUCGUCAGCUCGUGUUGUGAAAUGUUGGGUUAAGUCCCGUAACGAGCGC